rnacentral:piRNA from 1 species
UAACUCAAGAAAAGCUCACUAGUUUCUUUU